rnacentral:rRNA from 1 species
GUGUCAGCAGCCGCGGUAAAACGUAGGAGGCAAGCGUUAUCCGGAAUCACUGGGCGUAAAGGGCGUCUAGGCGGCACGAUAAGCGAGGUGUGAAAGCUCCUGGCUCAACUAGGAGAGUGCGCUUCGAACUGUCGAGCUACGAGGGCAGGCGAAGGGGGUGGAAUUCCCGGUGGAGUGGUGGAAUGCGUAGAGAUCGGGAGGAACACCCGUGGCGAAAGCGGCCCCCUAGCCUGAACCUGACGCUGAAGCGCGAAAGCGUGGGGAGCAAACGGGAUUAGAUACCCCGGUAGUCCACGCCGUAAACGAUGGUGACUAGGUGUGGCUGGCUUAAGGGCCGGUCGUGCCGCAGCCAACGCGAUAAGUCACCCGCCUGGGGAGUACGGCCGCAAGGCUAAA